rnacentral:rRNA from 1 species
AACGAACGCUGGCGGCAUGCCUAACACAUGCAAGUCAAACGAUAUCUUCGGGUCUAGUGGCGCACGGGUGCGUAACGCGUGGGAAUCUGCCCUUUGGUUCGGAAUAACAGUUGGAAACGACUGCUAAUACCGGAUGAUGACGAAAGUCCAAAUAUUUAUCGCCAGAGGAUGACCCCGCGUAGGAUUAGCUAGUUGGUGUGGUAAAGGCGCACCAAGGCGACUAUCCUUAGCUGGUCUGAGAGGAUGAUCAGCCACACUGGGACUGAGACACGGCCCACACUCCUACGGGAGGCAGCAGUGGGGAAUAUUGGACAAUGGGCGAAAGCCUGAUCCAGCAAUGCCGCGUGAGUGAUGAAGGCCUUAGGGUUGUAAAGCUCUUUUACCCGGGAUGAUAAUGACAGUACCGGGAGAAUAAGCUCCGGCUAACUCCGUGCCAGCAGCCGCGGUAAUACGGAGGGAGCUAGCGUUGUUCGGAAUUACUGGGCGUAAAGCGCACGUACGCUGCUUUGUAAGUUAGAGGUGAAAGCCUGGAGCUC